UCUACAACAUCAGCUUCACCAAAUUUUUCUGGUUGUUUUUCCUUUUUAUUCAUAGCCUCCCUUUUGAUCUUGUUCUGCAGCUUAUAGCACUCAGAUUUCAUGUGCCCCUUUUUCUUACAAAAGUUACAAAUUUUACCUUUGUUUGAAGACUUCGAUCUUCUCUUAGAUUUCCCGCGAGAAUUCCGUUCUUGUGUACUUCCACGAUCAUCGUCAGCAUUUCGAUCUUGUCUCUCACGAACAAUGAGACCCUCUCCUUGAGAGUCGAUUU
rnacentral:lncRNA from 1 species